rnacentral:rRNA from 1 species
GCAUACUAUAGAUCCUAAUUCAUUUUAUUUUAAUUAAUAAAAUUACUACCAAAUCCUAACAGAAAAAAUUUUACAAAUUCUAACUUAUUAAUGUAACCCAUCUCUUCUUUUAAAAGCUGCACCUUGAUUUGAUCUAAAAUAAAAUUUUAUUUAAAGAAAAUUAACCUUCUUUAGAAAUAUUCAUUUCAACAACGAUAUACAAGCAAUAUAAAAGUAAAAUAAAUUGUGGACUAUCAAUUACAGGACAGGUUCCUCUGGUAGGUUCAAGUACCGCCAAGACAUUUAAUUUUCAAGCACUUAACUAAUACUAAUCAGGUUCCAAUAAUUACGAUAUCAAUAACAGGGUAUCUAAUCCUGGUUUAAAGCAAUAUUUUCCCAGAUCAUCUUAUUUUUUAUCCUUUAUUUUAUAUUAAAAUUUCACCUCCCAAUACAAAUACUCUAAAUUACUAAUUAAUUAACUAAAACCACAAGAAUUAAGUAGCACCUUUUGUAUAACCGCA